GGACGAACGCUGGCGGCGUGCCUAAUACAUGCAAGUCGAACGGUCUUUCUAUGGAAGCUUGCUUCCACUGAGAAGAUAGUGGCGAACGGGUGAGUAACACGUGGGUAACCUGCCCAUAAGAGGGGGAUAACAUCCGGAAACGGGUGCUAAUACCGCAUAGUUUUCUUGAUCGCAUGAUCGGGAAAGGAAAGACGGCCUUUGUGCUGUCGCUUAUGGAUGGACCCGCGGCGUAUUAGUUAGUUGGUGAGGUAACGGCUCACCAAGACGAUGAUACGUAGCCGACCUGAGAGGGUGAUCGGCCACAUUGGGACUGAGACACGGCCCAAACUCCUACGGGAGGCAGCAGUAGGGAAUCUUCCGCAAUGGACGAAAGUCUGACGGAGCAACGCCGCGUGAGUGAAGAAAAGGUUUUCGGAUCGUAAAACUCUGUUGUCAGAGAAGAACAAGUUGGAGAGUAACUGCUCCAGCCUUGACGGUAUCUGACCAGAAAGCCACGGCUAACUACGUGCCAGCCGCGGC
rnacentral:rRNA from 1 species